UCAGCGUCAGGAGCCAUCCCAACUGAGGCCCUGGGAGGUCAGUGCUUUUUGUGUGACUGGACGGUGAAGCUGUCUGUGGGAAUGACCUGGCUAUGGCUCAGUGUAGUCCUAAUUAAGGUGUCUUUUACUCCGUGUUCCCAGGCUCCCUCUUUUCCUUCGGUCGCCGUGGGUGUGCCGGACGCCUCUGGCAGGACUAACCCUGUGGCUUUUCUGUCCAACGUGCUGUGCUGCGUGUGCCUGCAGGUCAUAUUUAUCUGCCUGUCAGAACUCUUGGAGCACUGGAUGGAGAGCAGGUCCUAUGAAGAGGAUUAUGGAGUAAAAGGCAGCUUGUACUUAAGUGCAGGGUGGUUGGUGUUUCUGCAGUGUUUGGCACAGGACUGGACUGAAUGCACUCCCUUUAUUCACCUUUUCAGAGAGUAUCGUCCAGAAUACGAGCGCCUGAGAAAAACACUGAGCAGGUGUUCAUUGCUGGGUUUCUGUGCAGACAGAAGUUGUCAGUGCACACACUCCCUUACCUUCAGCAAGCUGGUUUGUGUACAGCCGUUUCUGUUCCCUUCAAGGACCUGAUGCUUCUGCAAUGGGUCCCUCUGAGCUAAUACUAACACGAGGAACUCUCGAUGAAGAGCAAGAAGAGAGGGAGGGUGACGCUGAUGGCAUUGACCAUGAAGGUAAGGGAAUGAGGUCUAAAAGCUGCCUCUCAAGAAAUCCCCUCUGUAUUUCAUGACCUGGAUGGACUGUAAGGAGAGCCUAGAAAACAAGCAAACAUUCAGUCACCUGACGUGUCAGAAUCUGUAGCAGAAGCUCAGCUGCAAUGGUCAGUGCAGGGAUAUCACUCUGUAACCUUUGUGAAAGUUCAAUUGUAAAUUUUCUAUUCAAGUAAUUAAUAGGUGUAUAACACACAUAAACCAGAGAACUUGUUAGGCUUGGGGCAUGCAGUGACCUCUGAACCUGUUUGAUGCACAGAUGUGUCCAUCAUCUUUUUGGCCUUACAGUUUCUGCCCCUGGCUCUCUUCCCUUUUCCUGUGACUGUGGUCUUGGAGCAAUGUUCUAAGUUGUUACAGUGUGAUUUUUCUCUUAUAUAGCUCACAGACUUAAUCUUCAUUCUUUCCCUGUUUCACUGAUGGGUAGGAUCACUUAUUUCCUUUGCCCUAUAAUGUAGUUGAAGAUGGAAUAGACUUUCUAUGUUGCUUUGGCUAUCCUGAUUCUAGCUUUUUUUCAGAAGCACAAGUAGAACAAGUACUGAAAUAGCGCUGAACUUCAACAGCAACGGGGACUGCGCAGGAGAAGGAGGGUGGGCAGCGGGCCUGGGGCGGGCAGGGGGAUGGGGGUGGGGGCGGGCACUU
rnacentral:lncRNA from 1 species